rnacentral:rRNA from 1 species
UACGAAGGUGGCAAGCGUUACUCGGAAUUACUAGGCGUAAAGGGCAGGUAGGUGGUUUGGUUAGUCUGUUGUGAAAGCUCCUUGCUUAACGGGGAGAGGUCAACAGAUACUGCCAGACUUGAGUAUGGGAGAGGGUACUGGAAUUCCCGGUGUAGCGGUGAAAUGCGCAGAGAUCGGGAGGAACACCAAUGGCGAAAGCAGGUACCUGGACCAUUACUGACACUCAGCUGCGAAAGCUAGGGGAGCAAACAGGG